rnacentral:tRNA from 10 species
GCCGGCAUAGCUCAGCGGUAGAGCAGCGGUUUUGUAAACCGAAGGUCGGGAGUUCAAUCCUCUCUGCCGGCACCA